GGUUGGAAAUGACCUGAUCUCCUUGGAUCUUUAAAACCCCAUUUUACAGAGGUUGAUAUUGCAGCAACACGUAUUCAUUUUAGUUUUGUGCGCAUCGCUGUCCGCUCCUUCUGACGCACCAAUUCAGCGCAUUUUCCAGCAGAGAUCAUUGUGAGAUUGCAGGUUGGGAGGAUGACAGCUCGAAUGUAUUUCUUGUUGAUUGCUGUUUAAUCGUGUAUUUUUGGAUACUUGAGCAUAACUCGCGCUAUUCCAAGACGAACCACAGUGGACGGUUUAUGUCCGGCGAGGCUGAUGGUCAUGCCGUCCUGUCAAGGAUGUUCUUCUGAUAAAGGCUGCCCUGGAGGACACACAUACUGUCGACUUCACCGUGGGCCUGUUUGCGUGCUGCCUGUUUUCAUGAAGCCAGGUCAAUAUCCCAUACCGGAGAUGAUUCCACUGUGCUGAAAGCUGUUUCCAUGAUGGCCAGUGUCCUGCCACACAGAAAUGUUGCCCAACUACCGGUGGAUUUGCAUGCAAUGAACCACGUGGCCAGGGAAGAGGGUCAGGCAAGAGGUCAGGGUCAGUUAAGUGGUCAUGGUGAGGGAAGCGGUCGGGGAUGUGGUCAAGGGAAUGGUCGGGGAUGUGGUCAUUGAAAUGGUCAUGGGUAUUUUGCUUGACACUUACUGGAGAUCUUUUCAAUUCAGUGCUUUAUUCUUAUGGCAUGUUUUCCCUGUUUGCAUUAACAGUUUAGAACGGUUUUGUCCCCCACCUCAAAUAAAAACAAUUGCUUGAUUGAA